GGGUUUUAGCUCAGCUGGGAGAGCACCUGCCUUGCACGCAGGGGGUCAUCGGUUCGAUCCCG
rnacentral:tRNA from 1 species